GAUGAACGCUGGCGGCGUGCCUAAUACAUGCAAGUCGAGCGAACGGACGAGAAGCUUGCUUCUCUGCUGUUAGCGGCGGACGGGUGAGUAACACGUGGAUAACCUACCUAUAAGACUGGGAUAACUUCGGGAAACCGGAGCUAAUACCGGAUAAUAUUUUGAACCGCAUGGUUCAAAAGUGAAAGACGGUCUUGCUGUCACUUAUAGAUGGAUCCGCGCUGCAUUAGCUAGUUGGUAAGGUAACGGCUUACCAAGGCAACGAUGCAUAGCCGACCUGAGAGGGGAUUCGGCCACACGGAAACUGAGACCCGUGCCGGACCCCUACGGGGGGCCAAGGUGGGAAAUUUUGCGAAAUGGGGGAAAACCUGACGAAGAAACGCCACGGGGGUGAUGAAGGUCUUCGGUUGGAAAAACUCUUUUAUGGGGGAAAAAAGUAUGUGGAAGUUACUGUGCACAUCUGGGGGGAACCAAAUAAGAAGCCCCCGCCAAAUUAGUG
rnacentral:rRNA from 1 species